UGGCUCAGGAUGAACGCUGGCGGUGUGCCUAAUACAUGCAAGUCGAUCGGGCGUAGCAAUACGUCAGAGGCGUACGGGUGAGUAACACGUAGGUAACCUACCUUUAAGACUGGGAUACCCAGACGAAAGUUUGGCUAAUACCGGAUAACAACAUUUGAGACAUCUCUUAUGUUUGAAAGGCGCUGCAAGGCGCCACUUUUAGAUGGACCUGCGUCGCAUUAGCUAGUUGGUGAGAUAAAAGCCCACCAAGGCUGGGAUGCGUAGCCGAUCUGAGAGGAUGACCGGCCACAAUGGGACUGAGACACGGCCCAUACUCCUACGGGAGGCAGCAGUAGGGAGUUUUCGGCAAUGGGGGAAACCCUGACCGAGCAACACCGCGUGAGUGAUGAAAGGUCUUCGGAUCGUAAAGCUCUGUUACGAGGGACGAAUGAUCGCUUUAGGAAAUGAGAGCGGUUUGACGGUACCUCGCCAGAAAGCGACGGCUAACUACGUGCCAGCAGCUGC
rnacentral:rRNA from 1 species